UACGAAGGGGGCUAGCGUUGCUCGGAAUUACUGGGCGUAAAGGGAGCGUAGGCGGAUAGUUUAGUCAGAGGUGAAAGCCCAGGGCUCAACCUUGGAAUUGCCUUUGAUACUGGCUAUCUUGAGUACGGAAGAGGUAUGUGGAACUCCGAGUGUAGAGGUGAAAUUCGUAGAUAUUCGGAAGAACACCAGUGGCGAAGGCGGCUCACUGGCCCGAUACUGACGCUGAGGCACGAUAGCGUGGGGAGCAAACAGG
rnacentral:rRNA from 1 species